rnacentral:rRNA from 1 species
UACAGAGGUCUCAACCGUUGUUCGGAUUCAUUGGGCGUAAAGGGUGCGUAGGCGGUCGCGCAAGUUCGGAUGUGAAAUCUCAGGGCUCAACCCUGAAACUGCAUUCGAUACUGCGUGGCUAGAGUGCUGGAGAGGAGACUGGAAUUUACGGUGUAGCAGUGAAAUGCGUAGAUAUCGUAAGGAAGACCAGUGGCGAAGGCGAGUCUCUGGACAGCAACUGACGCUGAGGCACGAAGGCCAGGGGAGCAAACGGG